UGCCUCGUAACUCAGUUGGCUAGAGCGUUGGCUGUACUAAAGCCUUCCCCUUGCUGGCGUGGGUUCAAAUCCCACCGAGGCCG
rnacentral:tRNA from 1 species